CCUACGGGCGGCUGCAGUGGGGAAUAUUGCACAAUGGGGGAAACCCUGAUGCAGCGACGCCGCGUGAGUGAAGAAGUAAUUCGUUAUGUAAAGCUCUAUCAGCAGGGAAGAAAAUGACGGUACCUGAGUAAGAAGCCCCGGCUAACUACGUGCCAGCAGCCGCGGUAAGACGUAGGGGGCAAGCGUUAUCCGGAUUUACUGGGUGUAAAGGGAGCGUAGACGGCAGUGCAAGUCUGGAGUGAAAGGCGGGGGCUCAACCCCCGGACUGCUCUGGAAACUGUACGGCUGGAGUGCAGGAGAGGUAAGUGGAAGUCCUAGUGUAGCGGUGAAAUGCGUAGAUAUUAGGAGGAACACCAGUGGCGAAGGCGGCUUACUGGACUGUAACUGACGUUGAGGCUCGAAAGCGUGGGGAGCAAACAGGAUUAGAUACCCGAGUAGUC
rnacentral:rRNA from 1 species